rnacentral:rRNA from 1 species
UACGAAGGGGGCUAGCGUUGCUCGGAAUCACUGGGCGUAAAGCGCACGUAGGCGGAUCCUUAAGUCGGGGGUGAAAUCCUGGAGCUCAACUCCAGAACUGCCUUCGAUACUGAGGAUCUCGAGUCCGGGAGAGGUGAGUGGAACUGCGAGUGUAGAGGUGAAAUUCGUAGAUAUUCGCAAGAACACCAGUGGCGAAGGCGGCUUACUGGUCCGGUUCUGACGCUGAGGCGCGAAAGCGUGGGGAGCAAACAGG